rnacentral:lncRNA from 1 species
CUCCUCCUCUUUUCUUUUUUUUUAAACCACACUGGUGUGGUUUAACCCAGCCGGCAGCUAAACACCACAGACCCGUUCGUCCACCCUCCCCCCUCCGUUGUGCUUUCCAACAAAAGCUUUUCUAUUAUUGUAUGAAAUCAUCUGCAAUAGAUUCUGUGACACCAGGGAGAGCCUUCCUGUGAUUAAAGGCAACCUGUAGGAAAGCUGGGGAGGGGGUCUUUAUCAGGGCCUGGAGUGACAGGACAUGGAGUAAUAGCUUUCAACCGAAAAGUUAGAUUUCUAAUAUAUGUUAGGAAGAAAUUCUUUACUGAUAGUACUUCACAUCCUGUGCAUCUGCCAACUUCUGCAUCUUAUGGUUGCCUCCCCUACUUAAGAGAGGAUGCGGGAGUGCUGGGUGAAACACUCAGAUCUUACAUAAACAAAGCAAUACCUUACCUUUUGCACUCAAAUAUGUGCCCAGUAUGUUCAGCUAAAACAACUUCUACCCUACAGCGUUUUGUUGAAAGUUCCAAUUUCUGUCUCAGUUUCAGGUACACCAAAUUUUCAAGCAGGAUUUCCGGGCCAGCGUUGUCUGUCUGCGAUAGACUGUUUUGCUAGAUGUUCAGUGCUCCCUCUGCCAGGCACAGGCCUUUUUGUCUUUUUCCCUUGUAAGAAAACUUGCAGAGGUAUAUUUGCCCAUUUGCAGGUAGCUUGUGCUCCUCUUGCAGCGACGGUGUACUUGAGCCAGUAUUUGUCCACGAAUGACAACCCCUGUUUUUAGUCAAGGAGUUAAAAGUUUAAACAGCAAAAAUCCCAUGGCUUGCUGUAGCUGAGCAAACCUCCUCCUUGGCCUCCUCCUCCACCGCCUCCUCCUCCGCCACCUUCUCCUCCUCCUCCUUUUUUGUUUUUAUUCCUUUUUAUUUUGGCUUCCACUUCCACCACCUCCUCCUCCGCCACCGCCUCCUCCUCCUCUGUUUUGUAUUUUUUUUUUUUUGGCUUCCUCCUCCACCAUCACUUUCUCCAACACAUCCUCCUCCUCCUCAUUUUUUAGGAUUUUUGUUUUUGUCUUUUUUUGUCCUUCUCCUCUCCCACCUCCUUCUCCUCCUCCUCCUAUCUCCCCUGUCCAACACUCUGACUCCCACUGCCCCCCUUUGGCCCAUUUAUAGGGAGGAGCAGCCACAUCCCCGAUUGAUGACAAGCCAUUUGCAUAAUA